rnacentral:rRNA from 1 species
CCUACGGGAGGCAGCAGUGGGGAAUAUUGGGCAAUGGAGGAAACUCUGACCCAGCGACGCCGCGUGCGGGAUGAAGGCCUUCGGGUUGUAAACCGCUUUCAGCAGGGAAGAAGCGAAAGUGACGGUACCUACAGAAGAAGCACCGGCUAACUAUGUGCCAGCAGCCGCGGUAAUACAUAGGGUGCAAGCGUUGUCCGGAAUUAUUGGGCGUAAAGAGCUCGUAGGUGGUUCGUCACGUCGGAUGUGAAAAUCUGGGGCUCAACCCCAGACCUGCAUUCGAUACGGGCGAUCUAGAGUGUGGUAGGGGAGACUGGAAUUCCUGGUGUAGCGGUGGAAUGCGCAGAUAUCAGGAGGAACACCAAUGGCGAAGGCAGGUCUCUGGGCCAUUACUGACACUGAGGAGCGAAAGCGUGGGGAGCGAACAGGAUUAGAUACCCUGGUAGUCCACGCCGUAAACGGUGGGCACUAGUUGUGGGAACCUUCCACGGUUUCUGCGACGCAGCUACGACAUAGUGCCCGCCGUCGGGAGUACGAUCGCAGAUAAACUACAAUAGAGUAGACGCGUGAGACGUGCCGACGGACGACGACGAGGGAGGAGG